rnacentral:rRNA from 1 species
UACACUCCUGCGGGAGGCAGCAGUGAGGAAUAUUGGACAAUGGGUGGAAGCCUGAUCCAGCCAUCCCGCGUGCAGGAAGACGGCCCUAUGGGUUGUAAACUGCUUUUAUCUGGGGAUAAACCUACUUACGUGUAAGUAGCUGAAGGUACCAGAAGAAUAAGCACCGGCUAACUCCGUGCCAGCAGCCGCGGUAAUACGGAGGGUGCAAGCGUUAUCCGGAUUUAUUGGGUUUAAAGGGUCCGUAGGCGGACUGAUAAGUCAGUGGUGAAAUCCGACAGCUUAACUGUCGAACUGCCAUUGAUACUGUUAGUCUUGAGUAAGGUUGAAGUGGCUGGAAUAAGUAGUGUAGCGGUGAAAUGCAUAGAUAUUACUUAGAACACCAAUUGCGAAGGCAGGUCACUAAGUCUUAACUGACGCUGAUGGACGAAAGCGUGGGGAGCGAACAGGAUUAGAAACCCGGGUAGUCCCAU